rnacentral:misc_RNA from 1 species
UACGGAGGAUCCGAGCGUUAUCCGGAUUUAUUGGGUUUAAAGGGUCCGUAGGCGGACAAUCAAGUCAGUGGUGAAAGCCUACCGCUUAACGGUGGAAUUGCCAUUGAUACUGGUACUCUUGAGUGUAGUUGAGGUAGGCGGAAUAAGUCAUGUAGCGGUGAAAUGCAUAGAUAUGACUUAGAACAUCUAUUGCGAAGGCAGCUUACUAAACUAUUACUGACGCUCAGGGACGAAAGCGUGGGUAGCAAACAGG